AGAAGCCGCAGGCACAGAGGAAAGAAAUCGAAACAGAGAUGAGAGAAGGAAGGAAGGAGAAAAAAAAAAUAGAGGAAAGGAAGGAAUAAGUGUUGGUUUUCAACUUUCAUUCACUAAUUCUCUUUAUUCUAUUUUCAAGAGGGAAUAUUGGUCUUUGGUAGUUUGAGGAGCUUGGUGAUUUCAAAGUUAGAGCCACACGACGUGUUGAAGGAUAUGAGUCAAAUAUGAUUAAACCACAAAGUAAAGUUUUGGGCCCAUUGCACUAUGUUUUUAUAAACAUUUAACUUUAUUGCAUAUCUUGUAGUAACUAAUAGUGAGCCUUGAUAAUGGAUUUGACAUCUAGUCAGCAUCUAUUAUCAGCGCAUGCCACAUUUCGGGUCCACUAGGGUGAUUCGGGACCAGUCGUGUCAUGGUUUUAAAAAUUUUUAUGGUUCGUGCAUGUUCAGUAGGUAUGUUUACAUGUCGUGGUGGCAGAAAUCACAAGCUCUCUAACUCGAAUGUUUGGAACAAAAAAUGAUAGAUAUUUUUUUUUUUUUUUUUACAGAUUUAGAAAUGACUAGUAUGUAAGUGUGGUAGUUGUAGUGAUCCGAUGGUUGGAAAUGUUAUAAGUUGUUGGGUUGGAACUAUGUGUGUGUAACCUAUUAAGAUUUGAAUAGAUUGUGAUGAUUUUACGGGCAUUCGAAGUUAUAGAUGUUACAAUCACUUAAUUAUCAAUUUAUUUGUAGAACUA